CAAAUCGACUCAGAACUGAAGCGGACAAGGGGAAUCCGACUGUUUAAUAAAAACAUAGCUUUGUGAUGGCCUCAAAAGGUGUUGACACAAAGUGAUUUCUGCCCAGUGCUUUGAAUGUGAAUGUGAAGUAAUUUGCAGAAGCUCAGGUAAACGGCGGGAGUAACUAUGACUCUCUUAAGGUAGCCAAAUGCCUCGUCAUUUAAUUAGUGACGCGCAUGAAUGGAUUAAUGAGAUUCCCACUGUCCCCUAUCCACAAUCUAGCGAACCCACUGCCAAGGGAACGGGCUUGGAAUAAUCAGCGGGGAAAGAAGACCCUGUUGAGCUUGACUCUAGUCCGACUUUGUGAAAUGACUUUCGAGAUGUAGCCUAAGUGGGAGCUAACGCGCCGCUGAAAAACCACUGCUCGCUUAGCCAUUUUACUUACUCCAUGAAGAAGUGACCAAUUUAUUGGUUCUUAGAUUUAAGCUCUGACUUGUAUCAGGGCGAGCUUUGUGGAGGACACAGUCAGGUGGGGAG
rnacentral:rRNA from 1 species